rnacentral:rRNA from 1 species
AUUGAACGCUGGCGGCAGGCCUAACACAUGCAAGUCGAACGAGUGGGGACGGGUGAGUAACACGUGGGUAACCUCCCAUCAGAGGGGAUAACACUUGGACACAUGUGCUAAACCGAUCCUGAUGGAUGGUCCCGCGGUGCAUUGGCUGGUUGGUGAGGUAACGGCUCACCAAGGCCACGAGGCAUAGCCGACCUGAGAGGGGGAUCGGCCACACGGGGAGUGAGACAGGGCCCAGAGGCCUAAGGUAGGCAGCAGUAGCGAACCGGCGGCAAUGGUCGAAAGUCUGACCGAGCAACGCCACGUUAGUGAAGAAGGUUUUCGGAUCGUAAAGCUCUGUUGUUAGAGAAGCGGUAUCGAAACAGAAAGCCACGGCUAACUACGUGCCAGCAGCCGCGGUAAUUC